rnacentral:rRNA from 1 species
UGGGGAAUUUUGGACAAUGGGGGAAACCCUGAUCCAGCCAUCCCGCGUGUGCGAUGAAGGCCUUCGGGUUGUAAAGCACUUUUGGCAGGAAAGAAACGUCGCGGGUUAAUACCCCGCGAAACUGACGGUACCUGCAGAAUAAGCACCGGCUAACUACGUGCCAGCAGCCGCGGUAAUACGUAGGGUGCAAGCGUUAAUCGGAAUUACUGGGCGUAAAGCGUGCGCAGGCGGUUCGGAAAGAAAGAUGUGAAAUCCCAGAGCUUAACUUUGGAACUGCAUUUUUAACUACCGGGCUAGAGUGUGUCAGAGGGAGGUGGAAUUCCGCGUGUAGCAGUGAAAUGCGUAGAUAUGCGGAGGAACACCGAUGGCGAAGGCAGCCUCCUGGGAUAACACUGACGCUCAUGCACGAAAGCGUGGGGAGCAAACAGGAUUAGAUACCCUGGUAGUCCACGCCCUAAACGAUGUCAACUAGCUGUUGGGGCCUUCGGGCCUUGGUAGCGCAGCUAACGCGUGAAGUUGACCGCCUGGGGAGUACGGCCGCAAGAUUAAAACUCAAAGGAA